UGCACAAUUCUGGCGUUUCCUUGAUUGCGAAGAAUGAUGCGCGCCUGCGCGGAACUUCCUGUUCCCCCACUACCAGUUUCUCAACCCAGAGACGCAAACAACGCGAGACUUCAGAGAACGCUUGUGAAGCGGACCAAACCUGUGUUUGAGAAGUCAAUGAGAGAAGUGAACAAUUCUGAUACUUUUGCAGCGUUUAAUGGGGAUCCUAAUAAAUACCAAAAAUAUUCCGUCGGCACACACUUGAAACUUGGCCAUUAUUUUAUCAAUGUCAUAACUGCAAUGGCUUGUUCACAAUACCUAUCCCAGCAUCACAGGUAGCCUAGUUAUUAGCGUAAGAGCGGGGCAAGUAACCGAAAUAUUGCUGUGUCGAAUCGCCGACAUGACAAGGUCCCACAGUUGACAGUAGAUGUCAGAGAGAUGCUUGAUGAAAACCUGCUCCAGAGUGUGCGCAGGACUUCAGACUGGGGUGAAGGUUCACCAUCCAACAGGACAACAGCCCUAAACACACAGUCAAUUCAACGCAGGAGGGGCUUCUGGGCAAGUCUCGUAAUGUCCUUUAGUGACCCAGCCAGAGCCCGGUCACUGCUCGGGGCCUGGUUGCUGUCUAGCUUUAUUCCUAGGUUCCUUCCUUCUAGGGAGUAUUUACUAGCCACUGUGCUUCUGCAUUGCUCUUUGGGGUUUUAGUCUCGGUACCUGCACCCUCAGCGGAGUCAACGAACACCGGAAGCAUCUUUUUUUCAGGGAAAAGGCAGAGAGGAAGCCAAAGCCUGAAAAUAACAAGCUUUUGGUGUUUCACACCAACUGACUUGUUCUUCUGAUGUUGUUCACACAGGAGACCAUAUUGAGACAUUAUCUACAUCCAGAGAGCAACAGCAGGAAGAUCAGAGCUAGGAGGUCUCACCACUGCCUACAUUGAGGAGAUUUUCCCAAUUCUAUUAAAGCUAAAAAUACACACAGGAGAGAAUCUGUAUCUCUGCUCUGACAGUUCAUAAUUCAACACUGGAGAGAAGCCCUACUCCUGUUCUGACUGCGAGAAUAUUUUCUCUCAGCAGAGCAACUUAACACACCAACGUAUGUAUACACACAGGAGAGAAGCUUUACUCCUGCUCUGUUGGAAGAGUUUCUCUCAACAUGGCCACUUAAAAAGACAACAACAUACAUAAAUGUGAGAAUCCUCAUCAGUUCUCUGACUAGUGUAGAUUAAAAUAAUUCCAUCACUUAAUUAUCAAGAAGUUGUAACACACUGUAUUUUAGUCCUAUUGUUUCUCACUUUAAGAGAACUGUGCAGAGGAAAGGGAGCGUUAUAGAAUGUUAGCCUCUCUUUACUUUACUGAUCAGUAUGCACCUGGUCAGUUUUGGUGUGUUUUGAUAGCUUCUACUGUAAAGAUAUUUAGAGCACCUUAGAUUUGCCUUUAGGGUUGAAUAUCCUCUGUGAGGCUGGUUGACUGGGUGGUACUGCUUCCCUCUGCAGUUUUCUGUGAGAAUGAGAUGGCAUAACAUGUAUCAGAUAGAGAUGGUGUGAUGAUCAGUUUUCACCAUUAGUUUGGGUGGAGACUUUGUUUAUUAAAUUGUAUCUUAAAACUAGAUUUGUUUUUUUAGUUUUUUAGUACUCUCUUUAGUACUCUCUUGUAAUAAACGCUGUUACCUUUG